AAUAGAUCUGUUGGGGCUUUGGGGCUUUGCAGACGCUGUCUGUCGUUGCCUGCUGCCACUUGCUGCAACCAUGGUCAACCCCGGUUUUCUUCAACAUCAUGGUCAAUGGGGAGCCCUUGGGCCACAUCUCCUUUGAGUUGUUUGCAGGCAAAGUCAAAGACAGCAGAAAACUUCCAUGCUCUGAGCACUGGAGUAAUAGGGUUUGGCUAUAAGGGUUCUUCCUUUUACAGAAUUAUUCCAGGAUUGGUGUGCCACGGUGGUGACUUCACACACCAUAAAGUCACUGGCUGCAGAUGCACCUAAGGAGAGAAAUUUGAGGAUGAAAACUUCUCAUCCUGAAGCAUACAGGUCCUGACAUCUUGUCCAUGGCAAAUGCUGAACCAAACACAAAUGGUUUCCAGUUAUUUAUCUGCACUGCCAAGACUGAAUGGCUGGAUGGCAAGCAUAUGGCCUUUGGGAAGGUGAAAGAAGGCAUCAACAUUGUGGAAGCAAUAGAGUGUUUUGGGUCCAGGAAUGGCAAGACCAGGAAGAAGAUCACCAUUUCCCACUGUGGACAACUCUAAUUUCCUUUGACUUGUGGGAAUUUUACCCAUCAAACCAUUCCUUCUGUAGCUCAGGAGAGCAUCCCUAC
rnacentral:lncRNA from 1 species